rnacentral:misc_RNA from 1 species
UACGAAGGGGGCUAGCGUUGUUCGGAAUCACUGGGCGUAAAGCGCACGCAGGCGGAUUGUCUAGUCGGGGGUGAAAUCCCGAGGCUCAACCUCGGAACUGCCUUCGAUACUGGCGAUCUCGAGUCCGGGAGAGGUGAGUGGAACUCCGAGUGUAGAGGUGAAAUUCGUAGAUAUUCGGAAGAACACCAGUGGCGAAGGCGGCUCACUGGCCCGGUACUGACGCUGAGGUGCGAAAGCGUGGGGAGCAAACAGG